GUAACCGGGCGCGAUACGUUCAGUGUACCCGCGUCAUCCCGCAAGCCAUUCAUAGAUAACGGGACGAGGCGGCGCCCGCGCACCCACGCCCGGAGACGAAAUGAAGCACCCCACGAACACCUAGUUCGUACAGUGCGUGCAGUGAUCACAAUAACAACCACUAUCAGCAGCAAAAGUGAUGCAUAAUGUUCGUAUUGUUACAAAGUCAGCAUUACGAUAAAAAAAGGGACAAAUUAAGCAGCAUGGCUGCACGCACCAGAGUUUAAAAUGUUGAGGUGAUGGAUUACAAUGUACUACAGCGUGCAGCCCGCACCACGCAGCCAACCACGGAACACGGAGCCAAUACUGCGCGUGAAUACAUUCGAAGUCACGGAGGGGUGGUCUCAAGGUGUUCCAUAUGAAGCUGGCUGCAUAACGGAACGAGUUGCGAAACAGUGCGGUUUUGUGCUUCGGAGUGACCAUAAGAUAAGUGGACGCCCUAGUAUUUAUUGUAUGAUGGUUACGAGACCAUUCAAGUUUAUUGUAAAGGUACUGGGGUGAUUUGAACUUUAUAACGCCAAACAGGAGCGCGGCAAGGUGCAGCCGCUGUCUGGCGGCUACCUUCAGUAGCCCGCAAGAGUUGAGAUAAGGGGUAACAUGGGAGCGGGGAGGGAUAUCCAUACAGAAUCUAAUACAGGCGUUUUGUACCCUUUGCAGUAGCUUUUCCGUUUUCCGUAAAAGACAUGGGCCAUAUACAGUGUCCGCAUAAUUUAGUUUAGACAGAACAAGCGACUCACAUAACUGUAUUCGCAGGUCAACAUUAAUGUACCGUCUAAUUUUAUAAAGAGUCUUGAGUCUGAAGAAGCAGUUUUUGACCAUUUCAAUUGCGUGUUUUUCAAACCGUAAAUAAUUGUCGAAUGUUAGGCCUAGGUUACGAGCUUCGGUUACCUGUUCAAUAUCUACUCCUGCUAGUUUUA